rnacentral:rRNA from 1 species
UUCAUGAAGCUGGAAUUGCUAGUAAUGGCAGGUCAGCAUACUGCCGUGAAUACGUUCCCGGGCCUUGUACACACCGCCCGUCACACCAUGAGAGUUGGAAAUACCCGAAGCCUGUGAGCUAACUUAUAGAGGCAGCAGUCGAAGGUAGAAUCAAUGAUUGGGGUGAAGUCGUAACAAGGUACC